rnacentral:rRNA from 1 species
CUACGGGAGGCAGCAGUGAGGAAUUUUGCGCAAUGGACGAAAGUCUGACGCAGCAACGCCGCGUGAGGGAUGAAGAUCUUAGGGUUGUAAACCUCUUUUAAGAGGGACGAAGUAUGACGGUACCUCUUGAAUAAGCAUCGGCUAACUACGUGCCAGCAGCCGCGGUAAUACGUAGGAUGCGAGCGUUAUCCGGAUUUAUUGGGCGUAAAGCGUCUGUAGGCGGUUUGAUAAGUUGGAGAUGAAAGACCUAGGCUCAACUUAGGGAACGUUUCCAAAACUAUCAGACUAGAGAUAGGAAGAGGCAAGCGGAACUUGUGGUGUAGGGGUAAAAUCCGUAGAUAUCACAGGGAACGCCGAAUGCGAAAGCAGCUUGCUGGUCCUUUUCUGACGCUCAGAGACGAAAGCGUGGGUAGCGAACGGGAUUAGAUACCCCUGUAGUCC